rnacentral:lncRNA from 1 species
AAAUUCUCCACCCACUGCAGAAGGAGUAAUCGUAGCAUUUUUAACCAGGGCUGCCGUCGUUCCACGGGGGUUCAUAUUCCUUUCACCGCUUGGUUUAGGUUGUAUACGUGAAAAGUAAUACCAACAGUUUUGAUCCUUUUUCGAAAAGUGAAAAACAUGGACCUCAGGAGGAAGCCUCGGUUGUUCUUUCUGUGCUGCCUCUCUUUUUUCGUGCACAUCACCACUGCAGACCUCAGCUAUUCUAUUCCGGAGGAGAUGAGGCCCGGAUCUAUUGUUGGAAAUAUUGGCAAGGACCUCGGCCUAGACCCUGGGAAAUUACUUACUCGUAAAGCCCGUAUUGAUGCAGAGGAAAGCUAUCAACAUUACUGUGAUAUUGACGUAAAAACUGGCAAUUUUGUUACUCGAGAGCGCAUCGACAGGGAGGAGCUGUGCGGGGAGAAGGUAUCGUGUAUGUUAAAAUUUGAAUUAUUACUCGAGAGCCCGUUGGAGCUACACCGCAUUUCACUUCUCAUCCUGGAUGUAAACGACAAUUCGCCUGUUUUUCCGAAGGAUACAAUAAAGCUUGAAAUAAGCGAAUCGGCAGACAAAGGAGCUCGCUAUCGUUUGAGUGAAGCACAUGACGCUGAUGUCGGACAAAAUGCAGUCCAACAAUACAAUUUAGAAAACAAUGAACACUUUGUUUUAUCUGUUCGAGACGACACAGAUGGAUCAAAGAACGUCGAGUUGGUUUUGGACAAAGAGCUGGACCGUGAAAAAGAAAACGAUUUGAAUCUUUUGCUUGUUGCUGUUGAUGGUGGAAACCCACAGAAAUCAGGAACAGCCAGCAUACAUGUGACUGUGCUUGAUGCUAAUGAUAACUCCCCUUUGUUUGACCAGGCAGUUUACAAAGCGAGCCUACCAGAAAAUUCUUCUUUUGAUACUGUAGUGUUAAAAGUAAGUGCCACUGAUGCAGACGAGGGAGUUAACGGAGAGGUGACCUAUGAGUUCAGCCGAAUAUCAGAAAGGGCCCAAAAGGUGUUUUCAUUAAACAGUAAAACUGGAGAGAUACAAGUGAAAGGAGCACUUGAUUUUGAGAGUAAUUCAAGAUAUGAAAUGCGAAUCAAUGCCAAAGAUGGUUAUGGACUUUCGUCUGACGCCAAAGUAAUUAUUGAUAUUACUGAUGUGAAUGACAAUGCUCCGGUAAUUUACCUGAAAUCACUGACUAACCCCAUACCUGAGAACGUGUCACCUGGUACAGAGGUGGGCAUCAUUAACGUGCAGGACAGAGACUCUGAUAGUAACAGACAGGUCCGCUGCUCCAUUCAGCAAAAUGUCCCUUUUAAGUUGGUUCCUUCUAUUAAAAACUAUUAUUCUCUGGUGAGCACAGGACAACUGGACCGUGAACUAGUGUCUGAUUACAACAUUACAGUCAGUGCCACUGACGAGGGCUCUCCACCUCUGUCGUCGUCUAAAACUGUUCAGUUAUCUGUAGCAGACAUCAACGACAACCCACCUGUGUUUGAGGAGCAGUCGUACAGCGCAUAUGUGAGUGAGAAUAACAAAGCUGGCUCCACUUUAUGUUCCGUUAGUGCUCGAGACCCCGACUGGAGACAGAACGGUACAGUGAUUUAUUCUCUGUUAGGCGGUGAGGUGAACGGUGCCCCGGUGUCCUCCUAUGUGUCCGUGAACGGAGACACGGGGGUGAUCCACGCUGUGAGGUCGUUUGAUUACGAACAGUUCCGGAGCUUCAAAGUUCAGGUGAUGGCCAGAGACAACGGUUCUCCUCCUCUCAGCAGCAACGUGACCGUGAGUGUGUUCAUAUCAGAUGUGAAUGACAACUCUCCUCAGAUCCUGUACCCCGGGCCAGAGGGCAAGUCGUUCAUGACCGAGCUGGUCCCCAAAGCUGCACACGGAGGCUCUCUGGUGUCCAAAGUGAUAGCGGUGGACGCGGACUCUGGACAGAACGCCUGGCUGUCGUAUCAAAUAGUGAAAUCCACUGAUCCGGGACUUUUCACCAUUGGUGUCCACAGUGGAGAGAUCAGGACCCAGCGGGACAUUUCCGAAUCUGACAGCAUGAAACAGAACCUUGUAGUGUCAGUGAAAGAUAACGGGCAGCCCUCUCUGUCUGCCACCUGUUCCAUGUAUUUACUGAUUUCUGAUAACUUGGCUGAGGUGCCUGAACUGAAGGACAUUUCUUAUGAUGAGAAGAACUCCAAACUGACCUCUUAUCUGAUCAUCGCGCUGGUGUGUGUGUCAACGUUUUUUCUGACCUUCAUCAUCAUCAUCCUUGGUGUGAGGUUUUGUCGCAGGAGAAAGCCCAGACUGUUGUUUGACGGAGCAGUGGCCAUCCCCAGCGCGUAUCUCCCUCCUAAUUACGCAGAUGUUGACGGCACAGGAACUUUACGCAGCGCUUACAAUUAUGACGCCUACCUGACAACAGGGUCUCGAACCAGUGACUUUAAGUUUGUGUCAUCGUACAAUGACAACACACUGCCAGCUGACCAGACUCUGAGGAAAAGUCCAUCAGACUUUGCUGAAGUGUUUGGAGACUGCGAUGACUCUCCUGAG